rnacentral:rRNA from 1 species
GACGAACGCUGGCGGCGCGCCUAACACAUGCAAGUCGAACGAGCGAGCGAGAGCUUGCUUUCUUGAGCGAGUGGCGAACGGGUGAGUAACGCGUGAGGAACCUGCCUCAAAGAGGGGGACAACAGUUGGAAACGACUGCUAAUACCGCAUAAGCCCACGGUGCCGCAUGGCACAGAGGGAAAAGGAGCAAUCCGCUUUGAGAUGGCCUCGCGUCCGAUUAGCUAGUUGGUGAGGUAACGGCCCACCAAGGCGACGAUCGGUAGCCGGACUGAGAGGUUGAACGGCCACAUUGGGACUGAGACACGGCCCAGACUCCUACGGGAGGCAGCAGUGGGGAAUAUUGCACAAUGGGGGAAACCCUGAUGCAGCGACGCCGCGUGGAGGAAGAAGGUCUUCGGAUUGUAAACUCCUGUUGUUGGGGAAGAUAAUGACGGUACCCAACAAGGAAGAGACGGCUAACUACGUG